rnacentral:rRNA from 1 species
AAUGCGAGUGACCGUUGGUGAAAGCCAAUUUUCUAGCAAUAGACACAAAGCAAGGUGCUGCAUGGCUGUCGUCAGCUCGUGCCGUGAGGUGUUGGGUUAAGUCCCGCAACGAGCGCAACCCCCAUCACUAGUUGCCAUCAGGUAACGCUGGGAACUCUAGUGAAACUGCCGUCGUAAGACGUGAGGAAGGAGGGGAUGAUGUCAAGUCAUCAUGGCCUUUAUGCCCAGGGCUACACACGUGCUACAAUGGGAAGGACAAAGAGCUGCCACUUGGCGACAAGGAGCUAAUCUCAAAAACCUUCUCUCAGUUCAGAUCGCAGUCUGCAACUCGACUGCGUGAAGCUGGAAUCGCUAGUAAUCGUAUAUCAGCAAUGAUACGGUGAAUACGUUCCCGGACCUUGCACACACCGCCCGUCAAGCCAUGAAAGCCGGGUGUACCUAAAGUCGGUAACCGAAAGGAGCUGCCUAGGGUAAAACUGGUAAUUGGGGCUAAGUCGUAACAAGGUAGGCGUAGUGCU